rnacentral:rRNA from 1 species
AGAGUUUGAUCAUGGCUCAGAUUGAACGCUGGCGGCAUGCCUUACACAUGCAAGUCGAACGGCAGCAUGAUCUAGCUUGCUAGAUUGAUGGCGAGUGGCGAACGGGUGAGUAAUACAUCGGAACGUGCCCUGUAGUGGGGGAUAACUAGUCGAAAGAUUAGCUAAUACCGCAUACGACCUGAGGGUGAAAGUGGGGGACCGCAAGGCCUCAUGCUAUAGGAGCGGCCGAUGUCUGAUUAGCUAGUUGGUGAGGUAAAGGCUCACCAAGGCGACGAUCAGUAGCUGGUCUGAGAGGACGAUCAGCCACACUGGGACUGAGACACGGCCCAGACUCCUACGGGAGGCAGCAGUGGGGAAUUUUGGACAAUGGGGGCAACCCUGAUCCAGCAAUGCCGCGUGUGUGAAGAAGGCCUUCGGGUUGUAAAGCACUUUUGUCCGGAAAGAAAUCGCACUUACUAAUAUUAGGUGUGGAUGACGGUACCGGAAGAAUAAGGACCGGCUAACUACGUGCCAGCAGCCGCGGUAAUACGUAGGGUCCAAGCGUUAAUCGGAAUUACUGGGCGUAAAGCGUGCGCAGGCGGUUGUGCAAGACCGAUGUGAAAUCCCCGGGCUUAACCUGGGAAUUGCAUUGGUGACUGCACGGCUAGAGUGUGUCAGAGGGGGGUAGAAUUCCACGUGUAGCAGUGAAAUGCGUAGAGGUGUGGAGGAAUACCGAUGGCGAAGGCAGCCCCCUGGGAUAACACUGACGCUCAUGCACGAAAGCGUGGGGAGCAAACAGGAUUAGAUACCCCAGUAGUCC